rnacentral:rRNA from 1 species
GCUGCAGUCGAGGAUCUUUCGCAAUGGGCAAAAGCCUGACGGAGCGACACUGUGUGAGGGAUGAAGGCCUUCGGGUUGUAAACCUCUUUCGCUUGGGAACAAGAGAGGAUCGUGAAUAACGGUCUAAUUUGAGGGUACCAGGUAAAGAAGCACCGGCUAACUCC